rnacentral:tRNA from 1 species
GGGCCUGUAGCUCAGGGGUAGAGCGCUCGCUUUGCAUUUCCUUCGCAACCAUCUUCCGAUGGAUCAGCCGAAGCGCAAACUUGCGAGAGGCCUAGGGUUCAAAUCCCUACCGGUCCA